UUGGGAGCUCUCCCAUAUGGUCGACCUGCAGGCGGCCGCGAAUUCACUAGUGAUUAGAGUUUGAUCAUGGCUCAGAGCGAACGCUGGCGGCAGGCUUAACACAUGCAAGUCGAACGGGCACCUUCGGGUGUCAGUGGCAGACGGGUGAGUAACACGUGGGAACGUACCCUUUGGUUCGGAACAACUCUGGGAAACUGGAGCUAAUACCGGAUACGCCCUUGGCCUUUGGCCCUGGGGAAAGGUUUACUGCCGAAGGAUCGGCCCGCGUCUGAUUAGCUAGUUGGUGAGGUAACGGCUCACCAAGGCGACGAUCAGUAGCUGGUCUGAGAGGAUGAUCAGCCACACUGGGACUGAGACACGGCCCAGACUCCUACGGGAGGCAGCAGUGGGGAAUAUUGGACAAUGGGCGCAAGCCUGAUCCAGCCAUGCCGCGUGAGUGAUGAAGGCCUUAGGGUUGUAAAGCUCUUUUGUCCGGGACGAUAAUGACGGUACCGGAAGAAUAAGCCCCGGCUAACUUCGUGCCAGCAGCCGCGGUAAUACGAAUCGAAUUCCCGCGGCCGCCAUGGCGGCCGGGAGCAUGCGAC
rnacentral:rRNA from 1 species